rnacentral:misc_RNA from 1 species
UCUGGCUUAUAGCCAAGCGGUCUCGCUAAAGUGCCCAACUUAAUGCUGGCAACUAGCGACGAGGGUUGCGCUCGUUGCGGGACUUAACCCAACAUCUCACAACACGAGCUGACGACAGCCAUGCAGCACCUGUCACCGGGUCUCCGAAGAGAACUCUUGGUUUCCCAAGAUAGCCCGGGAUGUCAAGCCCAGGUAAGGUUUUUCGCGUAGCAUCGAAUUAAACCACAUGCUCCACCGCUUGUGCGGGCCCCCGUCAAUUCCUUUGAGUUUUAAUCUUGCGACCGUAUUCCCCAGGCGGGAUACUUAACGCGUUUGCUUCGUCACCGAGACAAUUAGGUAUCCCGACGACUAGUAUCCAUCGUUUAGGGCGUGGACUAC